rnacentral:rRNA from 1 species
UACGAAGGGGGCUAGCGUUGCUCGGAAUCACUGGGCGUAAAGGGCGCGUAGGCGGCCGGCCAAGUCGGGGGUGAAAGCCUGUGGCUCAACCACAGAAUGGCCCUCGAUACUGGCUGGCUCGAGACCGGAAGAGGUUGGUGGAAUUGCGAGUGUAGAGGUGAAAUUCGUAGAUAUUCGCAAGAACACCGGUGGCGAAGGCGGACAACUGGUCCGGAUCUGACGCUGAGGCGCGAAAGCGUGGGGAGCAAACAGG